rnacentral:rRNA from 1 species
AACGAACGCUGGCGGCAGGCCUAACACAUGCAAGUCGAGCGAUACCAGCAAUGGUGGAGCGGCAGACGGGUGAGUAACACGUGGGAACGUACCCUUCGGUUCGGAGUAACUCAGGGAAACUUGAGCUAAUACCGGAUACGUCCGAGAGGAGAAAGAUUUAUCGCCGAAGGAUCGGCCCGCGUCUGAUUAGCUAGUUGGUGAGGUAAUGGCUCACCAAGGCGACGAUCAGUAGCUGGUCUGAGAGGAUGAUCAGCCACAUUGGGACUGAGACACGGCCCAAACUCCUACGGGAGGCAGCAGUGGGGAAUAUUGGACAAUGGGCGCAAGCCUGAUCCAGCCAUGCCGCGUGAGUGAUGAAGGCCUUAGGGUUGUAAAGCUC